UCACUGUCAUGAUCGUGUGCAGGAUUGGACAAAACAAGAUGGCAGACGGCAGUUCCAAACAAAGAUCCAGUCAGGAGCGGACUUCCUUAAGCUUAAAAGUUGCAAGUGAAUGAAGUGUGUUCUAUUUUAUGCCUCCUACUAAAACCAUGGUUUUGACAAACCUAGAAGAGCACGUGGAGCAAGGAACUAUCAGUAAGCCGGAAGAGCCAGCUCGAAAAUCUUUAAGUGUUUGAGAAUUUCACCGCGCACAUGAAUCUAAAGUUCUGCCACACGUUAGAAUGAGCCUUGUUCUCGAAGAUCAACAUGUUGAAAAGUCUUCAUUUUGCAGAAGCAAAUACAUUUAUAUUGUAUAUACACAUGUAGACCAUGUUCGAUUCCCAACCACUUAACAUUUGUGAUAUCUGCAUGGAAUUAUUAAAACUGAGCAUGGUUUGACGUAUAAUAAUCUCUUUAGGCACGAUGGUUUACAUUUCACAAAGCUGUUCAAUGACAAUAAAGACAAUAAGAUGU